rnacentral:sRNA from 1 species
AUACCAAGGCUUCAAAAGUCGGAAAUCCAUCUGUGCUUGCACAGAAACGGAUUUCCGACCUUGGAAGCCGCACAAAAAUGAGGAAGAAACGGGGCAGUGGCCCCGUGAAUUCCGAAUUUUUGUAGGAUUGCGGGAGCACGAAGCGCGGAGCAAUCCGUGUGG